GACAGAGGGUGCAAACGUUGUUCGGAAUUACUGGGCGUAAAGCGUGUGUAGGCGGCCUCGUAAGUCGGAUGUGAAAGCCCCAGGCUUAACCUGGGAAGUGCACUCGAAACUGCGAGGCUUGAGUAUCGGAGAGGUUGGUGGAAUUCUCGGUGUAGAGGUGAAAUUCGUAGAUAUCGAGAGGAACACCGGUGGCGAAGGCGGCCAACUGGACGAAUACUGACGCUGAGACACGAAAGCCGUGGGGAGCAAACAGG
rnacentral:rRNA from 1 species